AUUUAUUUCGUGCACAUGCAUAAUAUCAAAUGCAGUUGGUUACACAAACGAGCUACAUUCAAUGUGGUAAGAGGCUUUUUCCCAAGCAACCGGUGAAAUGGUUGUUUUAUGCGCUAUUUACCAUUUCUUUUAGCCACAACUUUGCAUGCCAAACAGCCCUCUAACUCAAGCGACAACAUGACUAGACCCUAGUUCCCAAUUCCCACACACGUCUCCCUAUUCCCCAUUCAUCAGCCAAUGCUCCAGAUUCAUUUGCAGGGCCCGUCAAUGGGAACGCCUAAUGUUAUUAUUUGUAGUAUGACUCUGUGUAUAGUAUGACCACAACUCGGCAAAGAGUUGGUAAAAGAAACGACUCAUUGUUUCACCCGCAGCCGACAAUGUGGGUUAAUAAGGCAAAGCAAGUCAGCUCAGGCGUCUGACCACGGAGCUUUGGAGGGGUCCCGAGGCUAACUACUAGACCCAUCGUAGCACACAAGUAUAUUUAUAGCUUAGCUGAGUUCAUAGAACUGUCGGAAUCAGCGGGCAGACCUCUUUGGAUUGCUGCUCUCCAAUACUCGUAUUUUGCACAGAAAUCAACCAAGCGAUUUGGGGCGUAUCGUCGUGGGUCGGUCCAGAGCAAUAGAGGAGCAAGUCGCUGGUUGACACACAAAAUUAAAAUUAGUUGGUGUGAGUUUCCUCCCCACAUCCACCUACAAGUUGCCUCUGGUUAGCGGUAACCGACAGGUGGUAAGUGGCGCAUAAAUUAUGCGCCUCACUCACUCACAAGCAGUCGUUCAUCAGACCGUCGGUUCAACAGUCCAUCAGUCAGUCAAUGGCUCAUUGUCUGGUCUCAAAUUAAUUCCUUUGACACGCCUCGACUAAAAAAACCAAGAGAAAAUUCUACUGUCUUUCGACACUUUUGCGGUAUUUAUGAGAAAGUGUGUUGUUUGUGCGAUUUUCUGUCGACGAUUCUUACUUUUCACUCGCCCAUUGUCUAUGUUAUUAUUUUCUUUUAACUGGCGACGAAGAAAUUCUAUGCUAUAGAAAAUCGACUUAGAAUCACAGCAUGAUCUGUUUUGCACUAAAUACGCUUAUACAACUAUUUCUGGUGACUUUAUCCAAAUUUAAAUGACAACUUCUUCAAGCCAAAAACUAUAUAAAUCAUUCAAAAUUGCUUGAAAUAUUAGAGUCUUAUCGUGUCGUUGCUCGCAUUUAAUGGAAACGCAUACUUUCGUCUAAUACUCUACAAAAUAAAAGUUCAUAGAAAGGGGAGUGAAACGAAACGGCUCGUUGCUUCCACAAAGUUGGUUAUGCCUUCAAGUGGAGCCGUAUUGCAAUCUCUAGCCAAAAUCUUCGAGCUUCAUAUAACAGGUAACGCGUUGGAAUAAAUUGCAGGUGAGCAUGGAAAACAAAGGCCUAACUCAGUUGGGUAAUUGGGUUAGGCACAGCAACAAGACCUUCAAAGAAACACCCAAACAAAAAUUGCGAACAAGUGUCAAAAGAGACGGUAAAGAGACUACAACUCAACAUAUGUAUGUACAACAAUGGCAAUGGUAAAUGGCAGAUAUGAAUUCAAUUACUUUAAUGCAGCAAACUAUCUAUCGUUGAUAAGAAUUCAAUUAUGUUAAUACCGAAUUUUGGGUAUCCCGAAUAGGUCAGGCUGUACAUAAUGCAACAAGCAAUGACUUGUUUCUCAGGUACUCUUUGGCUAUGGUUUUGAGAUUAUUAUGAGUACAUUUAGCUUGUGAUGGAGACUGUACAGUACAUAUUCGAAUUGCGGGUAUUACCCAACACAAAACUCGGAUGAACUAUGCUAAGCGUUGCGGCUUUUUGCAUUUAUUAUUGCUCCACAGACGGACUCUCUCAGCAGUGCGACCUCGAUUUGAUAAGCGACGAGGGCAAAUAACUUUCAAUUUUCGGCAUGAACAGAAUGAAAAAUAAAAAAAUUCACCCAAAAGAAAGAAUGCUAUACUGGAUGCGACUUUUUGCUGCGGAACCCGUUUGUUGUAUUUUAGAAACCUUGAAUCUAAAUCUAAGCAAACUGGUUUCCGUAGUCUCGAUUCGAGAAGCUAGCCGGGUGCGUGUCGUGUUUCCCUUCGUGACACGAUAUAACAAAAAAUUAUUAAUAAAUUACCAAAUUUUGGCACGAGCUCGCUCAAACACGA